rnacentral:misc_RNA from 1 species
GCAAACUUGGUCAUUUAGAGGAAGUAAAAGUCGUAACAAGGUUUCCGUAGGUGAACCUGCGGAAGGAUCAUUAACAAAACAACAUACUUUGGUAAAGCUGGAGAUUUUGCGCAAGCAGUCUCUGGCUGACGCCAAGCAACCUUUGUGAAUUGGGUGUGCUGCUUCGGCAGCAUGCUUAGAAGGGAGUGUGGGAUGAGUGAUGUCUGUGCUUGCUUGCUGUAAGGUGGUAAGGGCGGCAUCAAUCUAUUUUAUUGUAGUCUAAUACUGUUGUUAUCGAAAGAUAGCUAAACAAUCAUUAUACAACUUUUAACAAUGGAUCUCUUGGCUCUUGCAUCGAUGAAGAACGCAGC